rnacentral:rRNA from 1 species
UGGGGAAUAUUGCGCAAUGGGCGGAAGCCUGACGCAGCAAUGCCGCGUGAGUGAAGAAGGCCUUCGGGUCGUAAAGCUCUUUAUCUCGGGGAAGAUGAUGACGGUACCCGAGGAAUAAGCACCGGCUAACUACGUGCCAGCAGCCGCGGUAAUACGUAGGGUGCAAGCGUUGUUCGGAUUUACUGGGCGUAAAGGGCGUGUAGGCGGAUGCGCAAGUCGAGGGUGAAAUCCCGGGGCUCAACCCCGGAACUGCUUUCGAAACUGCGCGUCUGGAGUGUGUGAGAGGAGAGCGGAAUUCCAGGUGUAGAGGUGAAAUUCGUAGAUAUCUGGAGGAACACCAGCGGCGAAAGCGGCUCUCUGGCACAUCACUGACGCUGAGGCGCGAAAGCGUGGGUAGCAAACAGG